GAUUAACGCUGGCGGCGUGCAUAACACAUGCAAGUCGAACGAUGAAACUUUAAUGAACCCUUCGGGGAGAAUUAAAGCGGAUUAGUGGCGAACGGGUGAGUAACGCGUGAGUAACCUGCCUUACACAAGGGGAUAGCCUUUGGAAACGAAGAAUAAUACCCUAUAAAACCAUAAAAGCACAUGCAAUUAUGGUCAAAGUGAUAGCGGUGUAAGAUGGACUUGCGUCUGAUUAGCUAGUUGGUGAGAUAAAAGCCCACCAAGGCAACGAUCAGUAGCCGGCUUGAGAGAGUGUACGGCCGCAUUGGGACUGAGACACGGCCCAGACUCCUACGGGAGGCAGCAGUGGGGAAUUUUGCACAAUGGGGGAAACCCUGAUGCAGCGACGCCGCGUGAUUUAGAAGGCCUUCGGGUUGUAAAAAUCUUUUGUAUAGGAAGAAAAUGACAGUACUAUACGAAUAAGGUCCGGCUAAUUACGUG
rnacentral:rRNA from 1 species